rnacentral:rRNA from 1 species
UACGUAGGGUGCGAGCGUUAAUCGGAAUUACUGGGCGUAAAGCGUGCGCAGGCGGUUCGACAAGUCCGAUGUGAAAGCCCCGGGCUCAACCUGGGAAUGGCAUUGGAAACUGGCGAGCUUGAGUGUGGCAGAGGGGGGUGGAAUUCCGCGUGUAGCAGUGAAAUGCGUAGAGAUGCGGAGGAACACCGAUGGCGAAGGCAGCCCCCCUGGGCUGACACUGACGCUCAGGCACGAAAGCGUGGGGAGCAAACAGG